rnacentral:rRNA from 1 species
GACGAACGCUGGCGGCGUGCUUAACACAUGCAAGUCGAACGGAAAGGCCCUGCUUUUGUGGGGUGCUCGAGUGGCGAACGGGUGAGUAACACGUGAGUAACCUGCCCUUGACUUUGGGAUAACUUCAGGAAACUGGGGCUAAUACCGGAUAGGAGCUCCUGCUGCAUGGUGGGGGUUGGAAAGUUUCGGCGGUUGGGGAUGGACUCGCGGCUUAUCAGCCUGUUGGUGGGGUAGUGGCUUACCAAGGCUUUGACGGGUAGCCGGCCUGAGAGGGUGACCGGCCAUAGUGGGACUGUGUUGCAGCCCGGACUGCUCCGGGAGGCAGCAGUGCGGGGUGGUGCAGUAUGGGCGGACCGUUGAUACCGGCUCGCCGCGGGCCGGAGGGGGGCCUGCGGGUUGUGGGCGAAUUCCCCGCGGCAAGCUGCGUGAGUGCCGGUAAUGGGUAAGGCAGCACCCGCUAACUAGGUC